rnacentral:lncRNA from 1 species
GUCUAUGUUACAUGUUUGUUUGGUGCAGUGCUAUUUAGCCUUGUGUAAAAUGAGUUUCUAUCCUUAUGCUAGAUUCGUAUUACUCAAUUAUCUUACUAUCUGAAUUAUCAAAAAUGCCAACAAUGAAAACCUCAAAAGUUGUCAUUACACCAUCAAACUUAACUGCAGUUUCUGUUCCUAGUAACUGGAAGAGGACACUUGGUACUACACUCGAAAGCGAUUUGAUCAUAUUAUUAUCACAUAUGAACACACAGUUGGAAACUACGAACCAGGCCUCCUUGCGUUCGUGCUCUUUUUCUCACUCAAUGCUUCAGCAAACGCGCCAAUGAUCUGCUGCUGCGACUCAAGCAUCAUCUGGCAAUGCUUCAGCUCCAUCUCCAUCCUCGUCUUCUCCAUCUCCCUCAUCAUCUCCAUCUUCGAAUUCUCCACUCUCACAAACAUCUCUGUCAACAUCUUCACCGAAGACACAACUUCAUCAAUCGGGUCAGACUCAACAUCUGCUGCUGCAUUCAUCUGCUCAUGCUUGAACCUAGAAGAAGACCCAUACCCAUUGGACACACCCGUGUUGUUGUUCCGGGGAUAGCUCCCGUCCUUUCUUCCAUAACCAUUGGCUCGCGACGAGCUCCUAGAGUGUUGAAUCCUCGGGUUGAACCCUUCAUCAAACUCAUCAUCAUAAUCCAUCUCCGGAGAGAAAUUGGCUUCAGGCUUACUAAAAUUCUUGGCUUUAAACCCAUGAGAAGCGAAACUCCGAUCACCAAAGGAUUUCAACGGAAACCCACCACCAAACUCGCCGGAGGAAGGCUUCCCAUGUGAACCCUUAAGCCUAGUUGCCUUAGGCACUAACACAAUCUCGUCAUCAGAAUCAGCAUCGAAGUCACCACUAACCUUAGGGUUACCAUUGUACCUCCUCUUCAACCCAAACCCACCUCCUGAGUCGUGAUCUGAAUCGAAACCGCCGUACAUCUUCAUCUGACUCUUUGACCUAGAUCUAACCCCAAACCCAUCUCGCGGCGAAUCGAAUUUCCCAGACCUCUUCGACCUAACCCUAAAUCCAUCUAAACCGUUACUCUCAUCGUCGUUAUCCAGAUCCGGAUCGUACGGUUCCACGGCGGUUGGAGUCACCGGCGCGAACUCCAUCGCAUCCAAUAUAGGGAACAGAUCCCAAGAGGAAGAGAACUUGCCUGGUCGGUUGAGAGACCGCUGCUUCUCGCCGCGACCAUCUAAACCGUUACUCUCAUCGUCGUUAUCCAGAUCCGGAUCGUACGGCUCCACGGCGGUUGGGGUCACCGGCGCGAACUCCAUCGCAUCCAAUAUAGGGAACAGAUCCCAAGAGGAAGAGAACUUGCCUGGUCGGUUAAGAGACCUCUGCUUCUCGCCGCGGUAACGCUUCCGAAGCUUCUCGAUCUUGUGCCGGCAUUGGAUCGCUGACUUCGCCGGACCUCCGAGGGUAUGCAGCGAGGAGACAGCGGCCGCGACGUCGUCCCAGUCAGCCGCGCGGAGGUUUCCGCGGCGGAGGGCGAACCACUUGUCUUUGUAGGCGUUGACGAGGGCAGCGGUCUCCUCAUCGUUCCAGCACGGAGGCGGGACUCUCCUGGUCGUGGUGGUGGCGACGGUGACGGCGGUGGAAGGAUCGACGGCCAUGGCGACGGGAGAUCCAUCGGGGGUUGACAUGGCGCCGGAGAAGAAGAAAUUAGGGAUAGGGGAGAGAGCGGUGGGUUUGAGACUCUACAAGUUGGUCGCAGAAGAUCCAUACAUUCUAAAACACUUUGAAAUAAGGUUCUGUUGGGAUGGGUUAAGAGAGCAAACAGGGAGGAGGUCUUGGACUGGAAUGAUGAAGAUAGUAACACAGUCCUGCAUAUUGCUGCACUGACUAAUCAACCUGAGGUAAACGCUUCUUUUUUAUACCAAGAAAACAACGAGUUGGUUUAGUAGCUAAAACUUCUAACUCACCUAAUAGGAUCUUGGUUCAAGACUUCAAGUCUAGUUAGGAGAAAUCCUUUUUUUUUUUAACACAGGAGAAGUUAUCCAAAAGAGAGUUAAAUUACAUAGUCUGGAUCUCGUCCUAUACGAGUCUAAGAGUUUAUAAAAGUCUCUCUACAUUUCGUUCCUCUUUUAACCCUAAAGUUCUUGUUUUUAUUCAUACAAGUUCUUGCUCUAGUAUCAUCACUGUUGUGUUGGAACUGUCAGUUAUUACUCUGGUACUUUGCUUUCUUGGGUUGUGUUCUUUGUGAAAGUUGUUGAGAUAUUUUUGGCAUACAAGCGGAGUUUAAUGCCCUUGAUUUUACAGGUCAUGAAGUUGCUACGUGGAAGCGUGAAAGCAAAAGCGAAGAACUGGAUGGUAAGACUGCGAUGGAUAUACUCCAAACUCACCAAUCUCCUCUUUUUUCACCUGAAGCCACUAGUAGCCUAUUCAAAAGUGCUAAAGAAAGACUACUUUCUACUACCACAAUAACUCUUGCAAAAUAUUUGAGCAAAAAACCAUCUUUUACCGAGAAACGGAAUAAUGCCUUUGGGCUGACCAAUCUGAGCAAGACUAGAAACACAUCUCUGAACAGUUACGACAGUCGCAGUGUGAUACUUGUGGUGGCUAUACUGAUAGUAACAGCUACAUACCAGGCUAAACUUAGUCCCCCUGGCGGAUUUUGGCAGGAGGAUUCGAUGUGCGGUGAUAGGGACGACUACUUGGCAGUUGGGAUAGCUUUCUUCUUAUCUCCUAUAUGUGAUCAUGAUUCUCACAGUUGGACUCCCCAUGUGGAAGGUUCUCUAUGGUUCCAUAGCAGCUCUCGGAACUGCUAAUUUCGCAAUGCUAACCAUUACAUUUCCAACCUCACACACGGAACACCGCCCUGGGGAGGUCAUAUUGAAAGUUUUCCUCUUCACGUACCCAGCGAUUACAGCAAUCAUAGUGUUUGCUCCGUUUGCGGUAUUCUUUCUGAACAAAUGGCGCAGGCGUCGAGUAGACUUUCCGGCCAGGUACUUUAGCUCUCCUCAUGAGCUAUUGUAAAAAAAAAAGUGUGAAGCAUUCAAAAGUGCAAGUCUGGGAUCAUCUCUGCUUCCAGAUUAUCUUCCCUGCAACUUCAGGUCUAUGUUACAUGUUUGUUUGGUGCAGUGCUAUUUAGCCUUGUGUAAAAUGAGUUUCUAUCCUUAUGCUAGAUUCGUAUUACUCAAUUAUCUUACUAUCUGAAUUAUCAAAAAUGCCAACAAUGAAAACCUCAAAAGUUGUCAUUACACCAUCAAACUUAACUGCAGUUUCUGUUCCUAGUAACUGGAAGAGGACACUUGGUACUACACUCGAAAGCGAUUUGAUCAUAUUAUUAUCACAUAUGAACACACAGUUGGAAACUACGAACCAGGCCUCCUUGCGUUCGUGCUCUUUUUCUCACUCAAUGCUUCAGCAAACGCGCCAAUGAUCUGCUGCUGCGACUCAAGCAUCAUCUGGCAAUGCUUCAGCUCCAUCUCCAUCCUCGUCUUCUCCAUCUCCCUCAUCAUCUCCAUCUUCGAAUUCUCCACUCUCACAAACAUCUCUGUCAACAUCUUCACCGAAGACACAACUUCAUCAAUCGGGUCAGACUCAACAUCUGCUGCUGCAUUCAUCUGCUCAUGCUUGAACCUAGAAGAAGACCCAUACCCAUUGGACACACCCGUGGAGGCGGAGGAGAGGCGUAGGUUAGAAAAGUUAGGAGAGGAGGUGGCCGGUUAAAGAGUUGUACUAAAGUGCGCCGUGGAGUGGGUGACGUGUGCGCACCCGACGCACCUUCUCCACCUCCGCCGCAUACGUUUAACAAACCUUAUUUACCGGUUUAGUAUACAUAAACCAAUGGUUUAGUUUCAAAUUUUUUGAUGUUUUUAGAUCUUAUUCAAUUUGUAUUAAUUUGAUUUCGGAUUUGGGAAAAU